CGCGUAGGCGGCCAUGCGUGUCUUCCGUGAAAUCCCUCGGCUUAACUGAGGACGUGCGGAAGAAACUGCAAGGCUUGAGUCCGGGAGAGGGGGGUGGAAUUCCCAGUGUAGCGGUGAAAUGCGUAGAUAUUGGGAGGAACACCGGUGGCGAAGGCGGCCCCCUGGACCGGUACUGACGCUGAGGCGCGAAAGUGUGGGUAGCAAACG
rnacentral:rRNA from 1 species